CCUGAUGAUGGUGUGCAUGCCCCGCACCUGCGGUGUGUUCUCCAGCACGCUCAGCGUCGCCGGCAGUGGUUGCCCCUGGUGGGCUGAGGCCAGAGCUGCCCUGACAGUGAUUUCUCGCUUCUCCAGCUGGCUGUGCACGUGCUGCACGAUGAGGUCCAACGCCACCGAGUUCUCCCCGCCCCGGGGCACCACGAUGUCCGCCACCUGCACGCUGGGCUCGAUGUACUGCUCGAAGGCCGGCUUCACAAAC
rnacentral:lncRNA from 1 species